rnacentral:rRNA from 1 species
AUACGGAGGGUCCAAGCGUUGUUCGGAAUCAUUGGGCGUAAAGCGGGCGUAGGCGGCUUGGCAAGUCAGAUGUGAAAUCCCAGGGCCCAACCCUGGAACUGCAUUUGAAACUGCCUCGCUAGAGUCGCGGAGAGGAUGGCGGAAUUCCCGGUGUAGGGGUGAAAUCCGUAGAUAUCGGGAGGAACACCAGUGGCGAAGGCGACUCUCUGGGCGAGAUCUGACACUGAGGCGCGAAAGCCAGGGGAGCGAACGGGAUUAGAAACCCGGGUAGUCC